rnacentral:rRNA from 1 species
UACGGAGGGUGCAAACGUUGCUCGGAAUUAUUGGGCGUAAAGCGCACGUAGGCGGACCAUCAAGUCGGAUGUGAAAUCCCUCGGCUUAACCGAGGACGUGCAUUCGAAACUGAUGGCCUUGAGUACGAAAGAGGAUCGCGGAAUUCCCGGUGUAGAGGUGAAAUUCGUAGAUAUCGGGAGGAACAUCAGUUGCGAAGGCGGCUCUCUGGACCAGCACUGACACUGAGGCACGAAAGCGUGGGGAGCAAACAGG